AGCGAACGCUGGCGGCAGGCUUAACACAUGCAAGUCGAGCGCCCCGCAAGGGGAGCGGCAGACGGGAGAGUAACACGUGGGAACGUACCCUUCGGUUCGGAACAACCCAGGGAAACUUGGGCUAAUACCGGAUACGUCCGAAAGGAGAAAGAUUCAUCGCCGAGGGAUCGGCCCGCGUCUGCUUAGCUCGUUGGUGGGGUAACGGCCCACCGAGGAGACGAUCAGUAGCUGGUCUGAGAGGAUGAGAAGCCUCACUGGGACUGAGACACGGCCGAGACUACUACGGGAGGCAGCACCGGGGAAUAUUGGACAAUGGGCGCAAGCCUGAUCCAGCCAUGCCGCGUGGGUGAUGAAGGCCCUAGGGUUGUAAAGCCCUUUCGGCGGGGAAGAUAAUGACGGUACCCGCAGAAGAAGCCCCGGCUAACUUCGUGCCAGCCGCCGCAGUAAAAC
rnacentral:rRNA from 1 species